rnacentral:lncRNA from 1 species
AAGGGUAAAGAAAAUGCCGCUGAUGCUCCUAUCUCAAAGGAGAACGGUGACAAAAAUGCCGCUGAUGCUGCUAACGCAAAGAAGGGUAACGAAAAUGUCGCUGAUGCUGGUAGCACAAAGGAGGGGAGUAAAGAAAAUGCUGAUGAUGCUGCUAACUCAGAGGAGGAGUAAAGAAAAUGCUGAUGAUGCUGCUAACGCAGAGAAGAGUAAAUCUGAUGGUGCUGCCAGCGGUGCAACUGGCUCGUAACCAGCUUAUACCUUUUGUAAACCGUUGCGGACAUUGCUGUAGCUGCGAACCUACAUUAGGAUACGUACUCUUGC